UACAGAGGGGGCAAGCGUUGUUCGGAAUUACUGGGCGUAAAGGGCGCGUAGGCGGCCUUCUAAGUCGAACGUGAAAUCCCUGGGCUCAACCCAGGAACUGCGUCCGAUACUGGGAGGCUUGAAUCCGGGAGAGGGAUGCGGAAUUCCAGGUGUAGCGGUGAAAUGCGUAGAUAUCAGGAGGAACACCGGUGGCGAAGGCGGGUCUCUGGGCCGUAACUGACGCUGAGGAGCGAAAGCGUGGGGAGCGAACAGG
rnacentral:rRNA from 1 species